CUGGGCGUAAAGCGAGCGUAGGUGGCUUGAUAAGUCAGAUGUGAAAGCCCCGGGCUUAACCUGGGAACGGCAUCUGAUACUGUUAGGCUAGAGUAGGUGAGAGGAAGGUAGAAUUCCAGGUGUAGCGGUGAAAUGCGUAGAGAUCUGGAGGAAUACCGAUGGCGAAGGCAGCCUUCUGGCAUCAUACUGACACUGAGGUUCGAAAGCGUGGGUAGCAAACAGGAUUAGAUACCCUGGUAGUCCACGCCGUAAACGAUGUCUACUAGUCGUUGGGUCCCUUGAGGACUUAGUGACGCAGCUAACGCAAUAAGUAGACCGCCUGGGGAGUACGGCCGCAAGGUUAAAACUCAAAUGAAUUGACGGGGGCCCGCACNAGCGGUGGAGCAUGUGGUUUAAUUCGAUGCAACGCGAAGAACCUUACCUGGUCUUGACAUAUCUAGAAUCCUGCAGAGAUGCGGGAGUGCCUUCGGGAAUUAGAAUACAGGUGCUGCAUGGCUGUCGUCAGCUCGUGUCGUGAGAUGUUGGGUUAAGUCCCGCAACGAGCGCAACCCUUGUCCUUAGUUACCAGCGGUUUGGCCGGGAACUCUAAGGAUACUGCCAGUGACAAACUGGAGGAAGGCGGGGACGACGUCAAGUCAUCAUGGCCCUUACGACCAGGGCUACACACGUGCUACAAUGGUAGGUACAGAGGGCAGCUACACAGCGAUGUGAUGCGAAUCUCAAAAAGCCUAUCGUAGUCCAGAUUGGAGUCUGCAACUCGACUCCAUGAAGUAGGAAUCGCUAGUAAUCGCGGAUCAGAAUGCCGCGGUGAAUACGUUCCCGGGCCUUGUACACACCGCCCGUCACACCAUGGGAGUUGAUUGCACCAGAAGUGGGUAGCCUAACCUUUUAGGAUGGCGCUC
rnacentral:rRNA from 1 species